AGGCGUCGGCGUGCGCGGCCCCUCCGUCCCUGCAGCUGCCCGCUCGGCGCGAACAACACAACACUAACGGUGGCCGGGAAGUGCAAACCAACAUUACAAAAUGUGAAACACUUUUACAAUGUUUGAGACAAAUUUACAUUUUAGAAAACAUUUUUACACGUCACAAAACAAAACCACAUUAUCAAAGCGAAUUUACAAGUCCCGAAACAAUUUUACAUUUCAGAAAACAAAUAAACAUCACGCGAAACACUUUUACAAACGCCAAAACAAAUUUACUUGUUAAAGAAUCAACCGGAAAGGGAAUGUACCAACUCCGGGGCUGGACCGGAAGUGAUAACGGGGAGCGGCCAAUACGAAUUGUUGUCGUUGAUGGAGUUCAAGAUCCAAGAUGGACAGCGAAAGAGUGAAGUUUUGCUCGUUCUGUGGACAACAUGUGGGCCGCUUUACGCGGUUUUGCUUGUCGUGCGGUCAGUCUUUAGAGUUUUUAAAUAGCGUGGACCAGUCGGAAGGACCAAACGCGUGAGGACCAUCUCACCAGCCGGAUAAAGCUAAACAUGCUAUGUAGCAUAGUGGUCGCUAUCUGAAGUAUGGGAAUGAACGUGAAUAGCGCUACUGGUUAGCGGCUGUUAGCUUUCUAUUUUGAAACGGAGCUUUGUUCAUUUCAGCAGAAAAACAUGGCCCAUCACAUAAGCAGUUCAUGGAGUACAGAAACUCCAAGUCAAAAGAGCGUCAGUCCUUUAACUACGGACCAAGAGGAAGACUUCGGGCUAAAGAACGGAAACACGUCCAGAUAGUAAUAUCUGAUGCUGAGGAUAUGGAUCCACCUAAAACAAAUCCAGCCAAGACUUGUUGCUACAGAUUGAGAAUGCUGCUUCACUGGAUGCUCUGCAAGAAAGAAUCACGAGACACAGCACAAGUUACCGACAGCAGGCUGUCUGGGACGUGUGGCAGACCACCUCCGAUGGUGCAUUAUUGACCGUAACUCAAAGGUAAUUGACCGAUUCAAAGAUGGUCUUUCAGCCCGUCUUUGCUGGGCCAUCCUGUGCCACUCUGAAAAGCGACUCACUGGCUUUGAAGAGACUCGUGAAACCUGACCUCAGCCCUUCAGGUGGUAACAGAAGACUAAAAGAAAGUCAAACUCUGGCCUGCUGGGCAGACCGUCUCCUUGAUAGUGAAGGAGGCGAGGCUGCUGUGUCUGUGGCGGAUGUUUUGAUGUUUGCAGCUGGGCUGACGUCACUUCCCUCUUCUGGCUUGGAACCACUACCUCAAACAGAGUUCCUGGAUGACUCUCCAUUCCCAAUGGCAAAUACAUGUUCA